rnacentral:lncRNA from 1 species
CUCUGAGUCCCCAAGGACCCCAGGGCGUCUCACUUCAACCAUCUCUUACAUCCCUGAGAAAGUCCAUUUGGGGCAGAGAGAAUUGGAGACAUGUGGGGACAGUGGCCAUUCUUGGAUACACACAGGUGGGAAGCAGGGGGAGUUUAAGAAGAAAGGGGCCCCUUCCCUUUAAGGCUUGGACGGGGUCUGCCUGCACCUGGCCAGCCUCCACCCAGCACACCCCCCUCCUCGCUAAGAGACCUCCAUUUCCUUCACACAUGGGACAUUUCCCUCACAGCGUGGGCCAAACCACGUGCCCCUGGGGCCCAGCGUUCCACCACAGGGCCUGCUCUGAGGUCGUGGUGCUGGGGCUGGCCAGUGAGAGAUGCCAAGUGUUCUUGGUGGAGGAGAAGCUCGGAAACUCCGCUACCUCUGCCUCUGGACGGUGCUGUGAUGCUGAGAAGGUGGCAGCCACUUUGUUCCCAGCUCGGGGGAAGUCGAGUCCUUGGCAGACAGGACAGCCUGGUCUAGCGUCGUGCCGCCCCAGGCCCUGCCGGUCAACCUCCAGCCUUGCCUGCGCGUACCUAUGGAGGCAGAUGGCGUGACCUCAGCUCUGCUCUUCCCCAUGCUACGCCCAGAGGUCAGGGGCAGAGGGGAAGCAGGGGCACCCUCUAUUUCUAGCUACGUCUCAU